GUGAAUCAUCGAAUCUUUGAACGCACAUUGCGCCUUCUGGUAUUCCGGGAGGCAUGCUUGUUUGAGUAUCAGUAAACACCUCGACUUUUUCUCUCUCUCUCUCUCUCUCUCUUGCUUCUCGCGAAGGGAAAAGGGGGGAAGGUUCAAAGUUGGACUUGAGCAAUCUCCAAACCUCUCUCUAGGAGUGUGUGCGGAAUGCUUAAAAUGCAGGUGCAGCUGGGAGUUCCCCAUUUCAUUGUCCUAGGCUACAAGCAUUUCUGCUUAAUCCCGUCAAACCGGAUUAUACCUUUUUGCUGCAGC
rnacentral:misc_RNA from 1 species